rnacentral:rRNA from 1 species
GAUCCUGGCUCAGGAUGAACGCUGGCGGCGUGCCUAACACAUGCAAGUCGAGCGAGAAGCUUCUGACGGAUUCUUCGGAUGACGGAGGGAGUGGAAAGCGGCGGACGGGUGAGUAACGCGUAGGCAACCUGCCUUAUGCAGAGGGAUAGCCAUUGGAAACGAUGAUUAAAACCUCAUAACGCCUUUUGACCACAUGGAAAAGAGGCCAAAGAUUUAUCGGCAUAAGAUGGGCCUGCGU